CGUUGGGGGAGCAGAACUUUUAAUAAAAUCUAAUCCCAUCUGAUCUCAGAAGCUAAGCAGGGUUGGACCUGGUUAGUACUUAGAUGGGAGACCACCUAGGAAGACCAGGUGCUGUAAGGU
ensembl:rRNA 5S_rRNA 5S ribosomal RNA